CCUACAGGGGGCUUCAGUGGGGAAUAUUGCACAAUGGGGGGAACCCUGAUGCAGCGACGCCGCGUGAGCGAGGAAGUAUUUCGGUAUGUAAAGCUCUAUCAGCAGGGACGAAAAAAGACGGUACCUGACUAAGAAGCCCCGGCUAACUACGUGCCAGCAGCCGAGGGAAUACGUAGGGGGCAAGCGUUAUCCGGUUUUACUGGGUGGAAAGGGAGCGUAGACGGGAAGGCAAGCCAGAAGUGAAAGGGCAGGGCUCAACCCUGGGCAUGCUUUUGGAACUGUGGUACUAGAGUGCAGGAGAGGUAAGUGGAAUUCCUAGUGUAGCGGUGAAAUGCGUAGAUAUUAGGAGGAACACCAGUGGCGAAGGCGGCUUACUGGACUGUAACUGACGUUGAGGCUCGAAAGCGUGGGGAGCAAACAGGAUUAGAUACCCGGGUAGUC
rnacentral:rRNA from 1 species